AGUGUCCUGUCAUAUUGCCGUACAACGUGUUCUGUUACAACAGCGGCUACCAGGAUACGGUGCGUCAGACUCCCUUCCACUUGCUGUACGGACGGGAUGCUGUGCUUCCACUACACGUCGUGCACAGUCUUAGGCAGCUCGCUGACCUAGAGCAAGUGCCCGAUUAUGCUGCGGUCGUCAGAUCCAAUCUGGCGGAAGCUCGGGAGUUGGCUUCGAAGCAUAUGGGGUUCGCUCAGCAGAAGCAAAGCGCCUCUUCGACAAGCGUCCGUUGUUUUCGAAAAGUGCCAACUAGUGUUGCAGAGGACUCCGCCAACUGGGCUGAAGAAGACAACUCUUUACGAGGGACGACACUGCGUCCCGUCAAGGGUGUCUCCGGUCGUGUGCGAGGUAUAGAGUAUACUCUGACGACAGAGGGACAGGUAUCGUCCAUGUGGAAAAAACUGAGCCAUAUUUAUAGCCAACUGUUGCUGACUUUGCCCAGACUUGCUGACCUGUCUUAGGGUGUCAUUGUGGUGUGUCUCCUCUCCCUGUCCCGUGUUUUCGGCUGCUUCAAUUAUUCUGUUGUUGCUGACCUGUUCUCCCCCAUGUAACUAGAUCCCCUGUGUAUAUAGUCAUUCACUUGCGUAUAUUUUCACUCACUGUACCUUUGGACAUCGAGACGAUGUCUUCGCUGGCGCCGGCAUGUGUGUGUGUGCUGCCGCGUAUACCCGCCAGGUGGCGGAAAAUGAAGAAGGGAGACCGCGAGGAGAAGAGGAAAAGGAGAAGGACAGGAAAAGGCAGUCAAGAACCAGCACUGAACUGUCUAGGUGGUCCUUAUAAACUACGGUAACUUCGACUACGUUACAACCAUCAUCACUCCUUGGACAGAGUGGGGUGUACGCCUCUGCGUGACACUAAGCGCAACUGUGUAAGGCGUAUACGCCCCGCGCUUUCCACAAAUCAAGGAGUGAUAACGGAACCAUUCAGUGCAGUAAUGGACCUUCUGAAAGUGCUGUGUGGUAAUGAAUGCACAUCAUCGACAUCCGCGUCGAAGGCCGUAUAUGCGGUGUAGAUGCACCAGAAAAAAAAAAAAGUGACCGGCGGCAUGGCCGAAUGGACACGGCGUUCGCCCGUUGGUGCCAUAGUGGCCGCCCAAGGCCACGCUGAAGACUGUGAGGGUUCGAGCCUACAACCUGCUGUGCUGUCUGAGGGUACCCUCCACUGCUGCGGGGAGCUUCGGAAGAGUGACACGAUAGUGUGUGCUUCCGGUCGCUAUAAUGUCGACAAACGAAGUUCCGGUGACACUAUUUGGCCAUUUCCUCUCUGCGGGGAGUGGGAACGGGGCUGGCGUGGCAGCGGCAUCGUAAUCGAUGCCCAGUUGCCAUGAUGAUCACAGCUGAGGCCAGUGAUCUGCGAUGAACAUUUAAUGCGAAUCGGAGGACGUUCAUUGCUCCGCUAUUGCGUAAUCAUGUAAUGUAAUCAAAUCAUGUAAUGGAGCUUCUUUGCAGAAGUGCA